UACGGGGGGAGCAAGCGUUGUUCGGAUUUACUGGGCGUAAAGGGCGCGUAGGCGGUCGUGACAAGUCACUUGUGAAAUCUCCGGGCUUAACUCGGAACGGUCAAGUGAUACUGUCGGACUAGAGUACAGAAGGGGCAACUGGAAUUCUCGGUGUAGCGGUGAAAUGCGUAGAUAUCAGGAGGAACACCGGUGGCGAAGGCGGAUCUCUGGGCCAUUACUGACGCUGAGGAGCGAAAGUGUGGGGAGCGAACAGG
rnacentral:rRNA from 1 species